rnacentral:lncRNA from 1 species
CGCCUGGUCAGGCCGGGACGGGGCGGCUCCGCCCAGGUUACAGGAUUGAAGGAAGGGGGGAGACGGGAAGAGGAGCGGCGAGCGACGGCUGGCAGACAACCUACCCACUCCCAGCCCCGCGCCCACCUCAGGAGCGUCUCGAGCGCGCCCUCGUGCUUGUCCAGCGGACGACCGACUGCGGCGCGGCGCAGCUUGCUGAGCUCCUCCGCCGCGCGGCAGUACUGGGCCUGCUCUUCCCCGCCGCUUGGGUAAGUCUGCUGGAUGAACUUCACCAGCGGCUUGGCCAGGUCCACCUCUGAGGUCUUUUUCAGCUGCACCGAGAUGAAUGUCGCCAUGAUCAGCGCCUCCGCCGCCGUUCGGGCCAAACAGACCGCGGACAGCUUACGAGGGCCGAGGAGAGAGAGGUACUGGGCUGGCGGACUGGCGGACUGACUGGCUGACAGACUUGCGCUCCGCCUGCGUUCCGGGUCCGGCAACUUCCGGGAGCUCCAGCGCAGGCGCACUGGAUGCGGGGUCCUUAAGCUGUCCGCGGUCACGUGAAGGUGUCGCGGCGGCUACGCCCACCUGGACCCAGUUUACCCUGUACUGUGCUGCAAAAUAUUACUUUCUCCCCAUCUGGAAUUCUUCCCUUCCUCCUUCCUGCCGCAGUGGUGUACUGAGCACUUUCACGUAAGAGUAUUCCUCCACUCGAACAACCCCCCGGAGAAGUACUGGUGUCACUGCCACCUGCGAGAGUUUGCGGCUACCUCCCCAAGAGGCAGUCCCAGGGUUAUUGUGACCUAUGAUGUUUAUUCAACUACUGUUGACGGGCUGCUGUGCACAGGGAACCUAGUAGGCAAGACCCCUGCCAUCGUGCAGCUUACUGUCAGGUUGACACAGACCUUAAGGUAAACGGAAAAAGUAUCAGGAAAAAAACAGGGUGCUUGGGACUUAGGAGAUGUUAAGAUCGCUUGGAGGACCCUAAUUUAAAUAAGAUAAAGUAGGUUUUCUCCGAGUAGGUUAACUGAAAAUGAACCUGUGUCUCUGGUUGCUGUUUUGUAGAAAGAACAAAAUUUUAAAUAAAUUAAAAACGACACCUGUAAUUUGAGAAGAUGCUUGAUAUCAGAAGAGGAGAAGAGUGGAGAGGGGUGGAGUGGCAAAGGAGAGCCUCCAAACCAAAAGCCUGCGGCAGAGGCCCUAGGAGGCAAGCACUUAACCAUGUUUCAGGACUAGAAACGAAACAUGUGACAAGACCUUUAAAAACAAAUAGAAUGGGAUGGAAUAAAGUUGGAUGAGUAAGCAGGCAUCAAAUCAUUCAGAAACUUGUUGUCCAAGUUGAAGAAUUUGUUUAGUAUUGUAUAAUAAAUGCAGAGGAAGCUAUAUACACUUAUAAUUUACAUUUUUUAAAGGCCACGUUGUAGCUCAAUCGGAUAGUUUGUCUUUUGAUGGGAUGUAGUAUACAGUAUCAUCAUGGUAUAUUCCAGGCAAAAAUAUUUAACUUGAAUCUGUCAAGCCUUUGCAUCUAACACAGUUUAUAAAAAAUACAACAGAUAGAUGAACAAACUAAAUGAUGCCAGAGGAAGUAACUAGACAGAUCCAGAAGGUGAAACAUUCUGCAGGAUAACUGGCCCAUCUCUUCAACAAUUUGUCAUGAUAAAAGCAACUGCUUUAUGAAAAGAAAUUUAAGGGACAUAACAGUUUGAAUUGGAUCCUGGUUUGAACAGACUGUCUAUAAAAUGCAUUUUCAGGACCAUUAAAGAAAUAUGAAUGUAGAUGGACUGAGUAUUGGAUAAAAUAGAACUGUAUUGCCAUGGAAAAGAUCAUUAACUGAAAAGAGCAAGUCACGAAAUAGUAUGUUACAGCAUCUCAUUUUGGUUUAAAAAUGCACAUAUAUGUA